rnacentral:rRNA from 1 species
CCGCUGGCGGCAUGCUUACCCAUGCAUGACGAACGGUAACAGGCCGCUGCGAUCCCUUCGGGGUGACCUUGGCGCUGACGAGUGGCGGACGGGUGAGUAACGCGUAGGAAUCUGCCUGGCAGCGGGGGACAACUCCGGGAAACCGGAGCUAAUACCGCAUACGCCCUACGGGGGAAAGACGGGGAUCUUCGGACCUGUCACUGCCAGAUGAGCCUGCGUAGGAUUAGCUAGUUGGUGUGGUAAAGGCGCACCAAGGCGACGAUCCUUAGCUGGUCUGAGAGGAUGAUCAGCCACACUGGGACUGAGACACGGCCCAGACUCCUACGGGAGGCAGCAGUGGGGAAUAUUGGACAAUGGGCGAAAGCCUGAUCCAGCAAUGCCGCGUGAGUGAUGAAGGCCUUAGGGUUGUAAAGCUCUUUUACCCGGGAUGAUAAUGACAGUACCGGGAGAAUAAGCUCCGGCUAACUCCGUGCCAGCAGCCGCGGUAAUACGGAGGGAGCUAGCGUUAUUCGGAAUUACUGGGCGUAAAGCGCACGUAGGCGGCUUAGUAAGUUAGAGGUGAAAGCCUGGAGCUC